CGCUGCACAACCCGCAAAUAUUAAGAAGUACGUGCCUAACACCUCUGCCAUUAGCUGCAGAUUCGGAUAUAAAACAAAACCAUCUUACCAUCAUCAUCAUCGUGAUAUGUAUGUAUGUAUGUAUGUAUGUAUGUAUGUAUGUAUGUAUGUAUGUAUGUAUGUAGAGUUACCUUUUGAAUGAAGGGUACAGAGAAACCCAGGUCAGAAUCUUUUCUUUUUGGAGCUGAUGAAGGAGGAGGAGGAGGAUGAGUG
rnacentral:lncRNA from 1 species